AUCUCCUUUGUGAGUUUCCUCCUUUUUGGAAUGUUCCACUAUGAGUCUAGAUCCUUGGAUAUGGUUUGGGCCACUACAAAACUGAGUCUGAGCUGAAGAUGCUUAAUUUCCUUCUCCUUCUUGAAGCUGGAGAGCAGCAAGGGCUGACCUUUAAGAAAUUCUGCUUAACUGGUGUCUAACAACAGCAAGUAGAGCAAAACAAGCCCAAACUUAUUUGAAUCUUGUGGAUGGAAGUCUGCCAGCAAGCCUUCCUUCCUGCCACCAAAUCAGAGAACAGACGCUGGCUUCACCACACCAAGGAAAAAGACCAUGGAUUUUACAACUCACAAAGCUGCUAUGCACAGACAACACUCCAGGAAAAUAAUCUGGGAGAUGUUUGGUGGGGAUUUGGGGCUGCACCAUCUGGUUGCCCCGAUGUACCUCAUUGCCACAAAGCCUAGGGACCACGUGAGCAAAAAACUUCCGCGAACACUGUACACUAAAAAUCAUAACCAACAACCAGAGCUCAUUUUGGAGGGGCUACAACACAUAUGCUACAAAGUGCACAUCCAUCACUUCCUGUGAGCAGUGAGAUACAAAAAUUGGCAAGGGAAGAAGUGGUUUUAUUGUUGCCUGGCUUGUUGCCCCUUCUGCUGCCCCCAUCUCCAAAGUAUGUAGGGGCAGCCACGCCCAAAGAGAAGUCCUGCCACCAGGUUGACCAAAGAUGCUUUAAUAAACCGAAGAAAAGAAGCACAUUCUGUUCUCACAAAAUAAUAUCAGUAACUUUUUUUCCCCCAGUCCCAGUGUUUAAAACUAGCCAUCAUAUAGAAAAUUAUAUUCAAAAUAUAUGAUGAUGUGAUUUCUCAAAGCGUAGUUUUCCAAGAAAAGGAAGCUGAAGUACAUCCAGCACUUCUGAAAAAUCUGAUUAUUUAAUUCAGUCUAAUUAUUUAAUUUGUUUGACAAAGACAGGAGCUUAACUUCAUAUACCUGCUUAUGAAAGCCUUGGGCUUCAAGUAACAGUGGGCAAAGGAUACAUAAUUAAUAUAACAAGAGACCAGAAAAUGAAUAUGUUGAAGUUACUACUGCAGCUCUAACUUUGUCACAACACAUACAGGUCUUUUAUUGGCUUUCUCCAUAAAGGUGAAUUUCCUGU
ensembl:lncRNA